CCAGAUGGCGGAAUUGGUAGACGCGCUGGUCUUAGGAACCAGUGUCACCGACGUGGGGGUUCGAGUCCCUUCAUCCGCACCA
rnacentral:tRNA from 1 species